UACGUAGGCAGCGAGCGUUGUUCGGAGUUACUGGGCGUAAAGGGUGUGUAGGCGGUUGUUUAAGUUUGGUGUGAAAUCUCCCGGCUCAACUGGGAGGGUGCGCCGAAUACUGAAUGACUUCGAGUGCGGGAGAGGUGAGUGGAAUUCCUGGUGUAGCGGUGAAAUGCGUAGAUAUCAGGAGGAACACCGGUGGUGUAGACGGCUUACUGGACCAACGACGUGACACUGAGGCACGAAAGCGUGGGUAGCAAACAGG
rnacentral:rRNA from 1 species